GGACUGCCAACUCUGAACAUCUUUUAUGGAGUAGGAAAUAAAGGACACAUAGCUCAUAACUUUUGCAAACCGUGACGAUUUUAUAACAAAAGGAAAUAAAACAUGAACUAUCAACAAUUCCCUGUACAACUACUGUGAGAUAAAAUUAAGAGAAUACACCUCCAAAAUCGCAGAAGCACUUCCCGUUGCGACAUAACAUCUAUGGCCAUGUUUGCAGUGUGUACUUGUGUUUUUCAAAAAGGAGGCCAGAAACUUCUAUGUCCUCCUCCAGAGCCAUGAGCACCACACAUGCAGCCCACCUGGGCUCCCGAAAGCCCAACCUCAGAAGGCCAACCCACGUCACACUCAAAUCCUGCCAUGAGCAAAUUCCUUCCAGCAAAUGGGGGAGCCUUUUCAUCACUGAACUUCUAUAACCAGAUAAUGAAGAACUAAAUCUCAGUCCCAAACUCUGUUGUAGAAGAAUAGUUUUAGACAUAACGAGGUCCCCGUAUGUGUAGAACUUUAAGA